rnacentral:tRNA from 1 species
GGAGAGGUGGCUGAGUGGCCGAAAGCACAUCUUUGCUAAAGAUGCGAAGGAGAAAUCCUUCCGCGGGUUCGAAUCCCGCCCUCUCCGCCA